AUGCCACUUGGGUUACUAAAAUAUGUUACCACUUGGUCCAUUCUCUACUGCAUAAAGGAAGGAAAUAAUUGUGUUAGUAAACCUUUUGCACUAUUGUUACAUGAAUGGUUCUGCAUUGGUCAUUCAAUUAAAACCUUAAUAGAAAAUUUUCGACAGGACAUGCAGCAUAUGUUAAAAAAAAAUACUCUUUUUAAUACGAGAAAAUGA